UCACGUGAUAUACUUGAUAUUGGAUUCAUUGCUGGAUUUCGCUACAUAACCAUUACAUACAAAAUUGAUACAAAAUGGCGUUCAAUUUUGCCGCUUCCUCAUACAUCGUAGCGUUAAUUGGCGAUGCGUUUUUAGUAUUUUUCGCGAUAUUUCACGUAAUCACAUUCGAUGAGUUAAAGACUGGGUACAAAAAUCCAAUCGAUCAGUGUAAUAAUUUAAAUCCGUUGGUUCUGCCGGAGUAUUUAUUGCACAUGGUAAUUAAUGUUUUGUUUCUACUGAGCGAACAAUACUUUUCACUAUUCAUCAACAUUCCCUUGAUGGCCUAUCAUGUUUGGCGAUAUAUAAAUAGACCUGUGAUGUCGGAGUGCGGUUUGUAUGAUCCUACCAGCAUUAUGAACGCUUAUGAUUUAUCUGUGUACCAAAGAGAAGGAUGGGUUAAGCUAGCGUUCUAUCUUCUUUCCUUUUUCUAUUAUUUGUAUGGGAUGAUCAGCACAUUAAUCAAUUGAAACGAGUGAUUAUUGAAAUCAAUAAGGGUUUUCCAUUUUCUGUAUACAUUUAUGUGGUUCAAUGCCAAACAAAAUACGAACCAUAUAGUCAAGAGAUAUUUUGUGAGUUUAAAUAUUAUUUGUGCUUUGUGUCAGAUUUAAAGGAAGAUGAACUGAAUGAACAAAUAAUUUUUGCUCAUAUUUUGAUAAAAGUGAUACACGUUUGAGUUGAAUAUGAAACAAUACAUUAGAUUUAAUAGCUUUUGACAUUUUUAUACAUAAAACAUUUUUAUUUUAUGUACAAAAUUAAAAUAGGCAUUAGAGUAUAUUUCGGCUAACAUUUUGUAUAUCCCAUAAUUCGGAAGUAUAUGUUGUACGAUUAAAUGAAAAAUACAGUUGUUAAUAAAAGAAAAUAAGUAAU
rnacentral:misc_RNA from 1 species